CGAGAGGAAGAGCAAGGGCUGCAGGGACCCCGUGGCCCUCGGGCGGCCCACGACCCGGUGUGACCCCGGGGAAAGCUGUCCCGGCUGCGAGGGGGCGCCCCUCAAGGGGCCGCGUUUAGCCCUAUUUUCCGGGAUCCUCUCCAGCGUUAAAAGUCUCUCUGUGAUCAGAUCAGGGGGCCAAAGCACCUGCACUGAGGGGCUCGAGGCACACGGAGCAGCGGGUCCAACUCGACGCAGCAAUUCCAUCCGGAAAAUGAAAGUUCACUGAGGAAACAAGAGACGGAUCUCUCCUUAAGGACCAAUUUCUGAGAACUGAGACACCUGGUUUCUUGAAGAGAACCCCGGAGGACAGCUCCUAAUCAUCUCUCAGCAUUCCCGCACAAAUGGAAUAUGAUUUCGAACUUUUUAAAAUACAUUAGUAUUCGUACUCAGAGUUGAAUCUUUAUAAUAAUAGUCUGGAGGAACCUAGACUCUGAGCAGAAUGUGCAGUAGAAUCCGGAAACUGCAAAAUGCUGCCUGUGUGAUGAAAGGACUGCAGGGUCGCUUCCGCCUUGGGACCUAAUAGGCCAGGUACAAUGUCGGCUGCCUCAGGAGUUAAGAGAAGCCAUUCUUCAAGCUGCGAGAUGCUCCUGACUGUGGCCGUGACUUGUUCUUGGGACAUGCUGGCACGGGGACCACUUUGGUUGGCAGAGAAAAACCACCCUGCGUGAAACCUCAGAAUUAAUAUGGACUUAUCUAAGACAACGAACAAUUAAGCCAAAAGAAGACAUUUACAAUGACACGUAUUCUCACCGAAUAAAGAUAACCACCACUGACAUUUUUAUAUACGCUAUAAAAAUGCAUACAUAAAAUAAGGGCCCA